rnacentral:rRNA from 1 species
UACGUAGGGUGCAAGCGUUAAUCGGAAUACUGGGCGUAAAGCGUGCGCAGGCGGCUUUGCAAGACAGAUGUGAAAUCCCCGGGCUUAACCUGGGACUGCACUUGAUACUGGCCUUGCUUGAGUACUGGAGAGGAGAUUGGAAUUUACGGUGUAGCAGUGAAAUGCGUAGAUAUCGUAAGGAAGACCAGUGGCGAAGGCGAAUCUCUGGACAGUUACUG